UACGGGGGGGGGCAAGCGUUGUUCGGAAUUACUGGGCGUAAAGGGCGCGUAGGCGGCAAGGCAAGUCAGGUGUGAAAGCCCCCGGGCUCAACUCGGGAAUGCAUCUGAAACUGCUGUGCUUGAGUCCUGGAGGGGGUAGUGGAAUUCCCAGUGUAGCGGUGAAAUGCGUAGAUAUUGGGAGGAACACCGGUGGCGAAGGCGGCUACCUGGACAGUGACUGACGCUGAGGAGCGAAAGCGUGGGGAGCAACAGG
rnacentral:rRNA from 1 species